UACGUAGGGUGCAAGCGUUAAUCGGAAUUACUGGGCGUAAAGCGUGCGCAGGCGGUUUUUUAAGACAGAUGUGAAAUCCCCGGGCUUAACCUGGGAACUGCAUUGGUGACUGGCAGGCUUUGAGUGUGGCAGAGGGAGGUAGAAUUCCACGUGUAGCAGUGAAAUGCGUAGAGAUGUGGAGGAAUACCGAUGGCGAAGGCAGCCUCCUGGGCCAACACUGACGCUCAUGCACGAAAGCGUGGGGAGCAAACAGG
rnacentral:rRNA from 1 species